AUUGAACGCUGGCGGCAGGCCUAACACAUGCAAGUCGAACGAGUGGCGGACGGGUGAGUAAUGUCUGGGAAACUGCCUGAUGGAGGGGGAUAACUACUGGAAACGGUAGCUAAUACCGCAUACCAUCGGAUGUGCCACGAUGGGAUUCGCUAGUAGGUGGGGUAAAGGCUCACCUAGGCGACGAUCCCUAGCUGGUCUGAGAUGAUGACCAGCCACACUGGAACUUAUACACGGUCCAGACUCCUACGGGAGGCAGCAGUGGUGAAUAUUGCACAAUGGGCGCAAGCCUGAUGCAGCCAUGCCGCGUGUAUGAAGAAGGCCUUCGGGUUGUAAAGUACUUGCAGCGGGGAGGCGUUACCCGCAGAAGAAGCACCGGCUAACUCCGUGCCAGCAGGCGCGGUAAUUC
rnacentral:rRNA from 1 species